rnacentral:rRNA from 1 species
AUUGAACGCUGGCGGCAGGCCUAACACAUGCAAGUCGAGCGGAUGAAGGGAGCUUGCUCCUGGAUUCAGCGGCGGACGGGUGAGUAAUGCCUAGGAAUCUGCCUGGUAGUGGGGGAUAACGUCCGGAAACGGGCGCUAAUACCGCAUACGUCCUGAGGGAGAAAGUGGGGGAUCUUCGGACCUCACGCUAUCAGAUGAGCCUAGGUCGGAUUAGCUAGUUGGUGGGGUAAAGGCCUACCAAGGCGACGAUCCGUAACUGGUCUGCGAGGAUGAUCAGUCACACUGGAACUGAGACACGGUCCAGACUCCUACGGGAGGCAGCAGUGGGGAAUAUUGGACAAUGGGCGAAAGCCCGAUCCAGCCAUGCCGCGUGUGUGAAGAAGGUCUUCGGAUUGUAGAGCACUUUAAGUUGGGAGGAAGGGCAGUAAGUUAAUACCUUGCUGUUUUGACGUUACCAACAGAAUAAGCACCGGCUAACUUCGUG